rnacentral:rRNA from 1 species
UACGUAGGGUGCAAGCGUUAAUCGGAAUUACUGGGCGUAAAGGGUGCGCAGGCGGUUAUAUAAGACAGAUGUGAAAUCCCCGGGCUCAACCUGGGACUUGCAGUUGAAACUGGUGAGCUAGAGUAGGGUAGAGGGGUGUGGAAUUCCAGGUGUAGCGGUGAAAUGCGUAGAUAUCUGGAGGAACAUCAGUGGCGAAGGCGACUAUCUGGCUGACAACUGACGCUGAGACUCGAAAGCAUGGGGAGCAAACAGG